rnacentral:rRNA from 1 species
UGGCAUGACAGCAUCCCUUUUGGGCGCAAGUUUUGAGGGGUUUGUUUUGGACGACGAGAUGCAUUCCAAUUCCUAUCGGGCCUUGCGCGGGAUCGAAGUGAAUGACGCAACCCUGGGGUUUGAAACGAUCUGUGAAGCUGUUUUGGGAGAGGGACAUUUCCUAGGCAAAAGCGACACCUACGCCGCGAUGGAACGCGAUUAUUUCUAUCCAGCUAUCGCAGAUCGCAAUGAACCGCGUACCUGGGCAGAAACAGGUGCGACCAGCGCGUGGGAACGGGCCAAUUUGAAGG